rnacentral:rRNA from 1 species
CUACGGGUUGCAGCAGUUAGGAAUAAUCUACAAUGCGCGCAAGCGUGAUAGUUUGAGUCAGAGUGCGCUUCAAUUUGGAGUGCUUUUGUGGAAUGUAAAAAGUUCCACGAAUAAGGACUGGGUAAGACGAGUGCCAGCCGCCGCGGUAAUACUCGCGGUCCAAGUCGCAGCCAUUUUUAUUGGGUCUAAAACAUCCGUAGCUUGCUUCUUAAGUUCCUUGUGAAAUUCUGUAUCUCAAAUGCAGAGCGAGCAAAGAGUACUGGGAAGCUAGAGACUGGAAGACGUAACGAGUACGAUCUAAGUAGCGGUUAAAUGUGUUAAUCUAGGUCGGACUAACAACAGCGAAGGCACGUUACGAGGACAGUUCUGACAGUAAGGGAUGAAGGCUAGGGGCGCAAAACGGAUUAGAUACCCCGGUAGUC